UUAGUUCCGGUGCGAAAUCUCUAGGGAGAUGAGGUGGCCAGGUAAAUCCGGUCGCUGAUCCUGAAGGACUAGCGGGUACCCAAGCCUAAGUCACUGAGCCAAGCUGUCAAGAAAAACUUCUAAGCGAUGAAACUAGACCAUCCGUACCGCAAACCGACACAGGUAGGCGAGGAGAGUAUCCUCAGGCGAGCGAGAGAACCUUCGUUAAGGAAUUAGGCAACAUGUACCCGUAACUUAGGGAUAAGGGUAGCCUGCUGCAGCGAUGUCGUUAGAUGUUGUUGUGGUGGGUCGCAGAUGAGAGGCUCUAGCAACUGGUUAACUAAACCACAGGUCCCUGCUAAGUCGUAAGACGACGUAUAGGGGCUGACACCUGCCCAGUGCCGGAAGGUUAAAUGGAGUGGUCAGCGCAAGCGAAGCUACGAAAUGAAGCCCCGGUGAACGGCGGCGGUAACUAUAACCGUCCUAAGGUAGCGAAAUUCCUUGUCAGGUAAGUUCUGACCCGCACGAAUGGUGUAAUGACUGGAGCACUGUCUCAACGAGGGACUCGGCGAAAUUGAAAUAGUGGUGAACAUGCCAUUUACCCGCGCCCGGACAAAAAGACCCCAUGGAGCUUUACUGUACCCUGGCAUUGCGUUAGAACUUUGUCUGUGUAGAAUAGGUGGGAGGCUUUGAAGUUGGUGCGCUAGCAUCGAUGGAGCCGCAAUGUGAAAUACCACCCUGAUGGAGUUUUGGCCCUAACUGUCACCCAUUAUCUGGGGACAAGACAGUGCCAGGCGGGCAGUUUGACUGGGGCGGUCGCCUCCUAAAAGGUAACGGAGGCGCUCAAAGGUUCCCUCAGGCUGAAUGGAAACCAGCCGUUGAGUGUAAAGGCACAAGGGAGCUUGACUGCAAGACGGACAUGUCGAGCAGGGACGAAAGUCGGACUUAGUUAUCCUGCGACUCUAAGUGGAAAGGUCGUAGCUUACGGAUAAAAGCUACCCUGGGGAUAACAGGCUGGUGAGGCCCAAGCGUCCACAGCGACGGCCUCGCUCGGCACCUCGAUGUCGGCUCGGUGCAUCCUGGGGCUGUACAAGGUCCCAAGGGUCGGCCUGUUCGGCCGUUAAAGCAUUACGUGAGCUGGGUUCAAACCGUCGUGAGACAGGUUGGUCUCUAUCCGGCGUGGGCGUAGGGGAUUUGAGAGGAGUUGUCCUUAGUACGAGAGGACCGGGAUGAACGGACCUCUGGUGUGCCAGUUGUCUUGCCAAAGGCACCGCUGGGUAGCCAGGUCCGGCAGGGAUAACCGCUGAAAGCAUCUAAGUGGGAAACCCGCCUCAAGAUUAGAUCCCCCUGAAGGUCACCCGUAGACUACGGGUUUAAUAGGUGAGGUGUGUAGCGCUGUAAGGCGUUCAGCUAACUCAUACUAAUGACCGUUUGGCUUUCUAA
rnacentral:rRNA from 1 species